GCUCAUGCGGGAUCUGCUCGGUGUGCGUUGGCCGCCUGCGAGAUGCGAGUGACUUUAAACUGCAAGUGCAGCAAACUCAGGUGGUGCUGCUUGCACAGCUGGAGGCAGACGUGCAUGUUAAAGAAGAAGAAUCAGUAGUGAAGUCGGAGACGGAGCAUGGGGAUGUCACCGUUGACGAACCUGCGUCGUCUUCACAUGAAGAUCCCCCAGUCAAGAGAGAGAUAGAUGGUGAAGACGGGACGAUUGAUGAAGAGGGACAGGAAACCUUGCG